GUUAUCCGGAUUUACUGGGCGUAAAGGGUGCGUAGGCGGUCAUUCAAGUCAGGAGUGAAAGGCUACGGCUCAACCGUAGUAAGCUCUUGAAACUGGGGGACUUGAGUGGAGGAGAGGAGAGUGGAAUGCCUAGUGUAGCGGUGAAAUGCGUAGAUAUUAGGAGGAACACCAGUUGCGAAGGCGGCUCGCUGGACUGUAACUGACGCUGAGGCACGAAAGCGUGGGGAGCAAACAGGAUUAGAUACCCUGGUAGUC
rnacentral:rRNA from 1 species